rnacentral:rRNA from 1 species
ACUCAAAUGAAUUGACGGGGGCCCGCACAAGCGGUGGAGCAUGUGGUUUAAUUCGAUGCAACGCGAAGAACCUUACCUACUCUUGACAUCCUGCGAAUCUGGCUGAGAGGCUGGAGUGCCGAAAGGAGCGCAGAGACAGGUGCUGCAUGGCUGUCGUCAGCUCGUGUUGUGAGAUGUUGGGUUAAGUCCCGUAACGAGCGCAACCCUUGCCCUUAGUUGCUAACAAGUUAAGUUGAGCACUCUAAGGGGACUGCUGGUGAUGAACCGGAGGAAGGCGGGGACGACGUCAAGUCAUCAUGGCCUUUAUGAGUAGGGCUACACACGUGCUACAAUGGCGCGUACAGAGGGUAGCGAACCCGCGAGGGGGAGCCAAUCUCUUAAAGCGCGUCGUAGUCCAGAUUGGAGUCUGCAACUCGACUCCAUGAAGUUGGAAUCGCUAGUAAUCGCGGAUCAGCAUUGCCGCGGUGAAUACGUUCCCGGGCCUUGUACACACCGCCCGU